CUAGCCUACUAGACCUCCUGAUCUACCUCUCGUAGCCUCCUGCUACUGUAGAUACCUCUAGCCUCCUGCUAGACUUCUUGAUCUACCUUUUGUAGCCCAAUCUACUAUCUCCUACAGCCUCCUGGUCUUACGUUGAAUGUCUCUCCAAGUGGAACACCAAGAACCGCCUAUUCUUGUGCUUGUAACUGUGCUUCAAUCUACCUCUCUCAGUUUUCUAAUGAAAUAGUCCCCUCCUCAAUAGAUUAAGGAAGCCUAGUUCUUUGAAUUGAGAACCUUGAUAUUUUCCCAAAAACUGGUUGUCGUAUCACAAGAUGAAUAUGGUUGAAUCCUCCAAUGAAUUAUGUCUUGGAUCUCUUGAACACAGAUGAGUAGAUAUUGUAUAAUGAAAGAAUAGUACCCUAUAUCUCACAUCCCAGACUUUUCUUUUUACACUUGGGGUAAAUAAGUGUCCUGGGCCGUACAAAAUUCUCCAAAAUGCAAUUUCAGAGUUGGUCACGUAACACUGUCGCUCAAGCAAGAAGAGAGCGAUGACUUCUUCGCUCGAGUGACGCUUGGGCGAACAGUGGGCAACAAUGGUUCCUGCUUCAUCCGUUUGAGCAACAACUUGGCGAGCAGCUAACGAAAAUUCGACCAGUCUUCUACCUUGUUCCAAACUCAACCCUUGCCUAAACCAUCUAUACAAAUUGUAACCCAAGUCCCUGACUUUUACAAUGUGUUCAAUUAAGUCCCUUUUGUUCACAGAAUCGCCAAUUACAAUAUAAAACCUAAUAAGGGAUAACACACUGUAAUUUUUAUUUAGCAAUAAUGUUUGUUGAUGCAUAAAUUGAAGAACCAAUCGAUUUCAUAUCUUUGGUGCAACAAGUAAUUUUGUUCAUUGGGUAAACAAUUUAAUUUGUUUUCUAGCAGAUUUUGACUAACUAAAUCUAAACUCGAUCAUUUCUAAAUGGGUUGGUUCAGUUCAAAAUUGAAACGAUGAUGGAACCGCAUGGAUCUAUACCAACGGUUUCUAAACAAUGAAUUUAGGUUUGCUUUUGCGGUUUAGCAUUCUUUUUCUCUCCUCUAUCUUUUACGAUAUGUUGGCUUAUUUCAGACUUGUUUGUACAUAAUUG
rnacentral:lncRNA from 1 species